CUGCAAUGUUGCAUAUCUGCUUGGACUAAAAACACUUAAGUAGGGCUUACAAAGGAAAAUUAAUUUUCAUCACUUUUAGUGCCUUCUUUUUGGUUCAAGAGGAGACAAGAUGGACAACAGACAUGUGUUUUCAAUACUCUUAAUAUUUCUGGCUGUACAAUCUAAAACCACAGCUGGCCAAUCUACAACAACUAUGGCACCAACUACAACAACAACUGCACCAACUACAACAACAACUGCACCAACAACUACAACAACUGCACCAACAACUACAACAGCUGC